rnacentral:rRNA from 1 species
GUGAGGAAUCUUUCGCAAUGGGGGAAACCCUGACGAAGCAACACCGCGUGAAGGAUGAAGGUCGUAAGAUUGUAAACUUCUUUUCUGAGGGAAGAAUUCUGACGGUACCUCAGGAAUAAGCAUCGGCUAACUACGUGCCAGCAGCCGCGGUAAGACGUAGGAUGCGAGCGUUAUCCGGAAUUAUUGGGCGUAAAGAGUUCGUAGGUGGUUUAUUAAGUUGGAUGUUAAAGCUUUGAGCUCAACUCAAACACGGUAUCCAAAACUGAUUAACUAGAGACAGGUAGAGGCAAGUGGAAUUCUGCAUGUAGGGGUAAUAUCCGUAGAUAUGCAGAGGAACACCAAAAGCGAAGGCAGCUUGCUGGACCUGUUCUGACGCUCAAGAACGAAAGCGUGGGGAGCGAACGGGAUUAGAAACCCGGGUAGUCC